rnacentral:lncRNA from 1 species
UGGAAACACAAGGAAGCUAAACAAUGGGAGCUCAAGGAAGCGGUCUAAAGCCAUCAAUGACCAUGGCUUACAAUCAGCAUCAUUUUACUGAGUGAAAAGGUAAGACUGCUGUCAAGAUGAUCAGAGACGAGGGCUGAGACUAGAGGUUUGAUGCUGUGCUCGGGGCUAUGGCAUGAUUGUUUCAGAUGGUUUUCAAGAAGAUAAUAGCAUUCUCCAUCCAAAAAUCUAACAACUGGAAAAGGGAGAAAGCCUUUACAGUAUACUUCACAAAAGCAAGCCUCCAUUAAAAACGUCUAGAAGCCAGUUAUGGUAACACAGGCCUAUGAUCUAGCACUCAGGAGCUGAGACAGAAGAACUGGGAUUUUGAGACCAACUUGGACUAUACGGUGAGUUCUGGGCCAGCCUGGGCUACACAGCAAAACCCUGUUUCCAAAACAAAAAAAAAAAAAAAACAAAAACAAAAACAAAAAAACAAAAACAAAAACAGGUUUGGCUCAUUGCAAGACACAUAUAUACAAAUCAUGAGCUUUACUUCUGUGACUGCGUGAUACAGGUGUGAACAUACUCUAUUCACAAAAGUAUAAGAUAACAGAAAAUUCAUGUAAAAGUGCAAGGAAUGAUAGAAACGUCUAACAUUUUAUCAAAGAAUCUAAGUAAGUGUACAUUGUAUCAUGUGACUGAACAGAGCGAUCAUACAUAAAUGUCAAUCCUUAGCAAUUCAGGCACACUUAAUACAAUCCAAAUCAAACUGUGCAGGCAUGUCUUCUCUGGAGAUGAACAAACCUUGAAUGUCUGCAGAGAAUAAAUGUCCAAAGGUUUAUUAAUUUUUAGAGAAGUGCUCAUGGAUUGCCUGGUAAGAAGAAGAAAACAAAGGUUACCAUGAAACUAUAAAGUAAAAAUAGCCUUGUAGUGGCACAAAUGCCGUGGAGUUAGAGUCAAAUGGACCACAUUUAAGAAUUUGAAAUUUGUGGGGCUGGGGAUGUAAUGGAGUUACUCUUGCUGCUUGUCUGAUGCUCUGUGAUCCUCAAUAUCAAACACAUACACAUAUACACAUCACACACAUACACGCACACACAUGUGCACACACACGCAUGCACACAAACACACACACAUACAGCACACACAUGCACACACCACACACACACACAUACACACAUGCACACACACCACACACACACACAUACACAUACACACACACACAUGUACACACACCACACACACACACACAUACACGCACACACAUGCACACACACCACACACACACAUGCACACACACACAUGCACACACACACAUGCACACACACCACACACACACAUACACGCACACACAUGCACACACACCACACACACACACACACACAUAUAUACACACAUGCACACACACCACACACACACACACAUACACAUACAUGCACACACAUGCACACACACAAACACACACACAUACCUCCCACCCCUCCCCAUAUACACAUGAGCACUUGCACAUUAGAAUGUGUGAGUUCAGCUGAAUGGAGAAAGAUCUAUAUUCAUUAGCUCUUCAUCUGGAUAUGUGAGGAGAUAAAUUCCAGAGUAAGGUUGGUCAGCUAAACUCUCAAGUUUUGGUUUUAGAAGAUACAUGAGCUUGAGUGAUCCCCUAAAUUCUACAAUCCACACUUUCCUCACCUACGUGAACCUCAUACAGUUCUCUUUCCAGAAUGCCUAGCAUGUAGAAGCUGAUGAAUCAAUUAGAGCUAUUACCAUUGCAGGUAUUAUUUCACACUCUAAUAAAAAAAUCCCAGGUAGAUUAUGAAUAUAAAUGAUAAAAUUAUGGAAAAAUGAUUAAAAAUUAUAAAAAGACAGAAGAGUGUUGGUUAAAAUCUCAGCACAGAGAUUGGAAGGCUUGCAGACAAGAAACCAUGAGCCACAGAAAGAGAAGUACGAUAUAACAACAUAGAGUGGAGGCUGUUAGUGCCGCUGUGGGUGACUCUCAGUGCCACUGUAGUGACCCCCAGUCCUGCUGUGGAUGACUCUCAGUGCUGCUGUGGGUGACCCUAGGUGUAACUACUGGAGCUCCCAGAAGUGCUACACCAGCUGACAGACAAAAUAAAAUGUAUACAGGCAUUUUGACUCAGAAUUCUUAUUUUUGAAAAUGUAGCUUAUAAAAAGAAAAAUGUCAAUAUAAAGGGCAUAGAUGUUUAGGGAAAUUUGUUGUCUUUUAGAUAGAUAGAUAGAUAGAUAGAUAGAUAGAUAGAUAGAUAGAUAGAUAGGCAGGCAGGCAGACAGACAGACAGACAGACAGACACAUCAGUGGAGGGAGGAAUCAAAAUGAAAAUAAUCUGAAAGUUUUUUUAAAUAGAGAAAUGAGCAAACAAGUUAUGGAAUAUUAUAUACUUUGACGAAAUAAUAACUUGCAUGACUAUGUAAUUUUAAUGCGAUAAAGUGAUAAAGCAAGGGUUAUGACAUAGUAGCUAACAUGAGCUCACAUCUUGUGCUAUGGCUUGGAUAGCAUCUUGCACUACGGUUUGGCCUCCAAACCAAAUAAAAACCCAGGGAUGUAUCUCCUGCGCUGGAAUCUUAAUGUUCACUGGGGUAGAACAGAGAGGAGGGGACCUAUAUGGGGCAUAGAGGGAGAGGAUUAGAUGAUGUUGGGGUCACUGCCCUAGGAAGAGAUUAAGAAAGUUCUGUGGGACCCUAUCCAAGUGCGGUGUCAUAGCAGAGUGUCUGUGAGCCCCAAAUUCUCUCUGGCUUCCUGUCUUACCAUAUUUCUCCCACUUGCACACCACCCCAUUGUGAUCCCACUCUGAUCUCAUAGUUAAGGAAGCCUUCCCUGCCCUGGCACCCACACCUCCAGUGAUGUAAGCUAAACACUCAUUUCUCUAUAAAACAGCCAGGCCAUUUAUUGUGAUAAAGUAGAUAGCUGUCCUGUGCCAGGCCCUCUGGGUGAGGCUCUCGUCAAUGCUGUGAGCAGGCUUUCUCUUAGCCGCAUCUGUCACCUUUCCCCUGGAUGUUCUGGGUUUUGGCUUUCUCUGCUCUGUUUAUCUGCCUUUCAGCUUUGUGUUGUUCAUCGAUGGAUUCCUCUCUGAUUCUCUUUGAUGAUUUAAUUUUAUCGCUCUCCUUUUAAAAAUAUCAACACAGCGACAGUUCCUGGAACAGGAGGAGGCCAGUGUGCAUGCUUAGCUGGCUUCCUGAAGUGAAAAGCCUUUAAUUUCAUGUUAUUAAUAGGAAACAGGGUAGGGGGAUCGCUGCGUACAUAUGCAUUGAUCCGUA